rnacentral:rRNA from 1 species
UACAGAGGGUGCAAGCGUUGUUCGGAAUCACUGGGCGUAAAGCGCGCGCAGGCGGGCGGGCAAGUCGGAAGUGAAAUCUCGCCGCUCAACGACGAGGCUGCUUCGGAUACUACCCAUCUAGGGACCGGUAGAGGCUGGUAGAAUUGCAGGUGUAGCGGUGGAAUGCGUAGAGAUCUGCAAGAAUACCCGUGGCGAAGGCGGCCAGCUGGGCCGGGUCCGACGCUGAGGCGCGAAAGCGUGGGGAGCAAACAGG